rnacentral:snoRNA from 1 species
CACCAUGUUUCCAAGGUAUGGCUUGGGGUAUGGUUAUGGGAUCUCCAACUACAUCACGGAGUAACACGGAGACACUCUGACAGCUCAGGUCAGCACAGUGCCUGCAGCUGCUACUCAUCUUAGAGAA